ACUAUUAGGUUUUACCAACUCGUUAUACUAAUCUACAAGUUUGACCUCAAAUCAGGUAGGACUACCCGCUGAACUUAAGCAUAUCAAUAAGCGGAGGAAAAGAAACCAACCGGGAUUGCCUCAGUAACGGCGAGUGAAGCGGCAAAAGCUCAAAUUUGAAAUCUGCGUAAGCCGAGUUGUAAUUUGAAGAUGGCUACUUUGGUAAUGGCUCUUGUCUAUGUUCCUUGGAACAGGACGUCACAGAGGGUGAGAAUCCCGUGCGAUGAGAUGUCCAUUACCGUGUAAAGUGCUUUCGAAGAGUCGAGUUGUUUGGGAAUGCAGCUCUAAGUGGGUGGUAAAUUCCAUCUAAAGCUAAAUAUUGGCGAGAGACCGAUAGCGAACAAGUACAGUGAUGGAAAGAUGAAAAGAACUUUGAAAAGAGAGUGAAAAAGUACGUGAAAUUGUUGAAAGGGAAGGGCUUGAGAUCAGACUUGGUAUUUUGUAUGGCUUGCUUUCGGGCGGGUCCUCUGCAGUUUACUGGGCCAGCAUCGGUUUGGGUGGCAGGAUAAUAGCAUAGGAAUGUGGCUCUACUUCGGUGGAGUGUUAUAGCCUUUGUUGAUACUGCCUGCCUAGACCGAGGACUGCGUCUUUUGACUAGGAUGCUGGCAUAAUGAUCCUAAGCCGCCCGUCUUGAAACACGGACCAAGGAGUCUAACGUCUAUGCGAGUG
rnacentral:rRNA from 1 species